rnacentral:rRNA from 1 species
AAGCGCUUGCAGCCAGACGUGCCCGUAGUUGCUCAUCGGGGGUUCUCCCCCGUGUACUCUUCUAUGGGCAGGCCAGCAUCAGUCCGGGCGGUUGGAGAAAGACCUGUGUCAUGUAGCUGUUUUCGGGCAGUGUUAU